CUACGUGCCAGCAGCCGCGGUAAUACGGAGGGUGCGAGCGUUAAUCGGAAUAACUGGGCGUAAAGGGCACGCAGGCGGUGACUUAAGUGAGGUGUGAAAGCCCCGGGCUUAACCUGGGAAUUGCAUUUCAGACUGGGUAACUAGAGUACUUUAGGGAGGGGUAGAAUUCCACGUGUAGCGGUGAAAUGCGUAGAGAUGUGGAGGAAUACCGAAGGCGAAGGCAGCCCCUUGGGAAUGUACUGACGCUCAUGUGCGAAAGCGUGGGGAGCAAACAGGAUUAGAUACCCUGGUAGUCCACGCUGUAAACGAUGUCGAUUUGGGGAUUGGGCUUUGAGCUUGGUGCCCGUAGCUAACGUGAUAAAUCGACCGCCUGGGGAGUACGGCCGCAAGGUUAAAACUCAAAUGAAUUGACGGGGGCCCGCACAAGCGGUGGAGCAUGUGGUUUAAUUCGAUGCAACGCGAAGAACCUUACCUACUCU
rnacentral:rRNA from 1 species